rnacentral:rRNA from 1 species
UACGGAGGGGGCUAGCGUUGUUCGGAAUUACUGGGCGUAAAGCGCACGUAGGCGGCUUUGUAAGUUAGAGGUGAAAGCCCAGGGCUUAACCCUGGAAUUGCCUUUAAGACUGCAUCGCUAGAAUCGUGGAGAGGUAAGUGGAAUUCCGAGUGUAGAGGUGAAAUUCGUAGAUAUUCGGAGGAACACCAGUGGCGAAGGCGGCUCACUGGUCUGGUACUGACGCUGAGGUGCGAAAGCGUGGGGAGCAAACAGG